rnacentral:sRNA from 1 species
ACGGAAGAGGCCCUGCGGAGGCGGCGGUGCAGCGCUCCGGUGGAAUGAAUCUUACUUGUUGAAUAUCUUCUGGUUACUAGUUGGAUUCAUUUGUGAAAGAAUCAUUUUCCCCUGUGUGGAAGACACUUAGUGGCAUAUUUAAAUUGCCGGAUCAAAAAGCUUUUUGAUUUCCCAAAGGAGGGACAUACCACUAUAUCAGAUAAGCUUGACAUUACAGCCAAGAUGGUGCUGUCCCAGAGACAACGAGAUGAACUGUAAGUUUCUUUGUUUUGUGCUUUAAAAAAAAUCUCCCUCAUGAGAGAGAAAGUAGUAAAUUAAAAUACAGCUUUGGGAGGUCUCUUCUAAGAUUAAAACUAUUUUUACCAGUGUUCCAAUAUUGGUUUAGGCAGUUUGGUCUGAUUUUAAAAGUCUUACUAUGAUAUAGCAUUAUUUUUAAAAUGUAUUUAUUUUUUCUGAGAAGGAGUUUUUCGCUCUUGUCACCCAGGCUGGAGUGCAGUGGCGCCAUCUCGGCUCACUUCAACCUCCACCUCCUGGGUUCAAGCAAUUCUCCUGCCUCAGCCUCCCACGUAGCUGGGAUUAC